rnacentral:rRNA from 1 species
CCUACGGGUGGCAGCAGUGAGGAAUAUUGGUCAAUGGACGAGAGUCUGAACCAGCCAAGUAGCGUGAAGGAUGACUGCCCUAUGGGUUGUAAACUUCUUUUAUAAAGGAAUAAAACGAGGCACGUGUGCCUUUUUGCAUGUACUUUAUGAAUAAGGAUCGGCUAACUCCGUGCCAGCAGCCGCGGUAAUACGGAGGAUCCGAGCGUUAUCCGGAUUUAUUGGGUUUAACGGGAGCGUAGAUGGGUUGUUAAGUCAGUUGUGAAAGUUUGCGGCUCAACCGUAAAAUUGCAAUUGAUACUGGCAGGCUAGAGUACAGUUGAGGUAGGCGGAAUUCGUGGUGUAGCGGUGAAAUGCUUAGAUAUCACGAAGAACCCCGAUUGCGAAGGCAGCUUACUAAACUGUGACUGACAUUGAUGCUCGAAAGUGUGGGGAUCAAACAGGAUUAGAUACCCUAGUAGUC